AGUGAACGCUGGCGGUAGGCCUAACACAUGCAAGUCGAACGGCAGCACAGGAGAGCUUGCUCUCUGGGUGGCGAGCGGCGGACGGGUGAGGAAUACAUCGGAAUCUACUCUGUCGUGGGGGAUAACGUAGGGAAACUUACGCUAAUACCGCAUACGACCUACGGGUGAAAGCAGGGGACCUUCGGGCCUUGCGCGAUUGAAUGAGCCGAUGUCGGAUUAGCUAGUUGGCGGGGUAAAGGCCCACCAAGGCGACGAUCCGUAGCUGGUCUGAGAGGAUGAUCAGCCACACUGGAACUGAGACACGGUCCAGACUCCUACGGGAGGCAGCAGUGGAGAAUAUUGGACAAUGGCGCAAGCCUGAUCCAGCCAUACCGCGUGGGUGAAGAAGGCCUUCGGGUUGUAAAGCCCUUUUGUUGGGAAAGAAAUCCAGCUGGCUAAUACCCGGUUGGGAUGACGGUACCCAAAGAAUAAGCACCGGCUAACUUCGUGCCAGCCGCCGCAGUAA
rnacentral:rRNA from 1 species